GACAGCAAGAAAGGGAACACAAGCAGGGGGAGUGGAGAGGGAGAAGCAGGCUUCCCGCGGAGCAGGGAGCCUGAUGUGGGGCUCGAUCCCCGGACCCUGGGAUCAUGACCUGAGCUGAUGGCAGACGCUUAAGGCCUGAGCCACCCAGGCGCUCCUCUGUAUAACUUUUCUUUAGAGUUUUAUUUAUUUGAGAGAGAGAGAAUUAGAGACAGAGAGCAAGCAUGAGUGGGGGGCAGAGGGAGAAGGAGAAGCAGGCUCCCUGCUGAGCAGGGUGCCCAAUGUGGAACUCAAUCCCAGGACUGUGGUAUCAUGAUCUGAGCCGAAGGCAGAUGCUUAACUGACUGAGCCACCCAGGUGUCCCUGGUGUAUAACUUUUAAACAAGUGGUUAAAAAUUCACCUUGGAAGUCAUUCUUUUUUGGUUUAUAACUAACUCAUUCUUUCUUAUCAGCUGAUAUUCCGUUUCUUUAUUUAACCAGUCCCUUGGUAAUGGACAUUUAGAUUGUUUCUAAACAAUGCUACAAUUAAUAUCCUUGGAUAUAAGUUCCUUGCACAAGUGAAAGCCACAUUAUAUUCCUAGAUGUGAAAUUAUUAUAUCAAAGGGUAUGUGCAUUUUUUUAAAAAUUUUAUUUAUUUAUUUGACAGAGAGAGAGAGAGAGAGAGAGAGAGCAAGCACAAGCAGGGGGAGUGGGAGAGAGAGAAGCAGGCUCUCCUCUGAGCAGGGAGCCCGAUGCGGGGCUGGAUCCCGGGACCCUGGGAUCAUGACCUGAGCCAAAGGCAGACGCUUAACGACUGAGCCACCCAGGUGUCCCGGAGAGAGCGAGAGAGCACAAGCAGGGUGAGCAGCAGAGGGAGAGGGAAAAACAGGCUCCUCGCUGAGCAGGGAGCCCAAUGCGGGGCUCGAUCCUUGGAUCAUGACCUGAGCCGAAGGCAGAUGCUUAACCGACUGAGCCACCCAGAGGGGAAAAGAGCACUUACCUCAGGAUUAAGAGGAUUACCUGAAAUAAUGCAUAUGAGAGUACAGAGCCUGCUGCGCAGAAAACCACGUGGUGAUGUUGACAUUGGAAGCCGUGCCUCGUGGAGCAAAAAGAAGUCUGGUCCACUAACCAACAGGCAGCGACCGCCUCUCCAUUUUUAUGUGAGAGAGGGAAAUACAUUUCUAUCUCAUUUAAACUACUCUUGUUUGGGGUUUCCCGUCCCUUGUCACUGAGCUUAAUCCAAGCAGAUACAUUGGUGCAAGCCACAACCAAGGCCCAGCCCUGCGACUCUUAAGGGAAGGGGAGUGACAACGUGUCAGACUUUUCGCUGGAUCUACUCAUGUUACCCCAAGAAGGUGUUCUCCUCAUUGUGAGCUCAUCGAUGCAGACACUUUCGGAGUGUCCCAUGGGGACUGAAAGAAGGACGUGCCUUUGAGAUGCCAUGCAAUGGCCAGGAAAGUUUCCCCAGAUGGAAAGUGUGGUAAGACAGCAGACAUGGGCAUGCCUGUCAGGAAAGAAGAAGUUUAUACUCACAGAUCCCUAGAAACAGGAGGCACACCAUGCCAUGGAGGGCCACAUGGGGAAGGACCAAGGAUGGUCAGGAGGUGGAAGAGCGGGAGAGGGCAGCACAUGGCCCAGAAACUUUAUUGGAGCUCUCUUGGGAAGGAUCCACCAAGGAAGGAGAGCUUCAUCAAAUUCCCAUGGCAUGGAGGUAACAUUACAGGACCACAAGAGUUUGGACAAUGGGCAUCUUGGUGACAACAGCGGAGACCGAAGACCUGAAGCUUCUUUAAAUAUUUAGCUCUGAUAAGCUUAUGUGUGAGCACCCUAAUUUUGUCCUCUGGAGGGAAGCUGGUGAGUGUGCUCCUUCAGGCCUGCCGGUCGCCAUGGAGACAGAGACCAGGUGCUGCUGGGGGAAGGUCUGUCGAGUAGCGAUAGUGCCAGCCAGGGUAUGGAGAGGAAACCAUGUUGGGGGGAAGCUCGCAGGAAACCAUUCUGAAGCUGUCCCGUUGUCUGAGUUCCUGAAAUGCUCCUCCAGGCCUGCCUGUAGUGAGGAAGGGGCUUCACCCAUGCAGUGACGUAGCAGCAGGUGGAUUUGGUUGGGGUCAUCUGUCUCAUGAGCUGGAGAGCAACAUGGAGACCAUCUGGGCUGGGUCGGGGCGGAAGCUCGCAUGAGAAGAGACGAAGCUUCUCUUCAGUUUGCCUCUACCACAGCAAUGAAUGGGGACUUCCUUGAAGGAACCUCAUGGCAAGGGGACAGCAGCGUGUGAGUGUUGGAGCAGGAGAGGAAGAACUGGUGAUUCCCGGUGGAGAUGAAGAUUGGCAGGUGUGUAAGUAGCACAUGAGGGCCUGUUUGGGGGCUUCCAAAGACAAGGAGGGGUGGGGUCUGGGAAGACAGAAGCUGAAGCUCUGCUGUCAAGUAGGUGACAACUCAGCGUUAUGAUUUGGGCAUUAACGUAGGUGUACCAUUUUUUAGACUUACAGAUGGAGCUCAUUUGGGGGUCUUCAUCCGUGGUUAUUUUAAAUCCUAGUGCAUCUGUAGCACAUCUGUCCAAAUUAAUUACCUAAGCAUUGGUUGGGAUGUUGAGACUGAUUAUGGCACACAUACCCCAGAAAGGGUAUGAAAAGGUUUACUACUCACCGGGGAGAGUAGGGUGUCUCCCACGCAGGUCUCAAAAUAGUUUGAGAGAGCAGGGAAAAGAGACUGGCUUGAGGGUAUUUUUAUUAUGUUUGGGGUAAGUCCAGGUAAGGAGUCCUGGUGUGUGUUUGAACUUCCUGCUGGUGCCGAAGGGGGGAGCACCACACUUUCUUAUCAGCUUGCCAAGACGUGGGAUGCAAGGGGAAGAGGAAGGUGUAAGACUUAAAAGUUAUCAGAAUAUAUUAGAAAAAAAAAAAAAAGAAUCAGUUCUUAUUAUAGUAUGUGACCUUGUUGACCUAAUUAUCUUGACGCAAACUUGUUGAAGCUGAUGUUUUGACAUAACAUACUUUCACACAGACAAAAUAACCAACCAUUAAAUUUGAGCUUUCUUUUUAAAAAAGGAGUGAGUCCUAUACAUGAAAUACGCUACCCUCUAACCCAUCCUAUCCCUGAGCCUUGCUCCAUCCUACAUUCUUUUCCUUUCGAUCUCCUCCAGGAUGCUGUUCUUGCUUCUGCCUUCAGUAAUAAUGAUAGUGAUGCCACCAUGAUCUGUGGUAGGUUAUCAUUUGUGUCUCCAGGUCAAGAGGGCAGGGUGGCUUGGUGGCAUCCAGGAAGCUGCAUACAGCAUAUAUUCAAUGAGAAAAAAAUGCCUCACUGCAGGAAUUAAUGCAACAGUCACGUCUAGUUGGGAUUGCAGAACAUUUGCUCACAGAAGCCAUUUAUUCCCCUUUGAGGGAUUCAGCCAAAUAAAAUCAUUCAUUUUUGACUCCAGCAUGCUUCACGGGGCUGUUUUAAAGCCAGGCUAUGUUGGCCUAGGGAAAAUUCUACUUGUGGUGAAUGAAGACCUUCAUGGAAGUCCUAUUGCUCAAGUUCUUAUUGUUGCAGUUCAUGCUUAUGUAAACGCUGAGCAGGGAGAUUCUUGAAACUCCAUCUGUAUCUUCCAGUGAUGCUUAGCGGAACACUUGAGAGGCAGUGAAAGAAAACUGCCAAACACUGAAGUAAUGAAAACAGACUCUCAUGAAGGAGAGGCUGGGACCACUGCAGGUCCAGCAAAACCAGAGACUCAACUUCAGCGGUGUUUCUGGGAUGCGAUGCGAUACAAGGGGAGGACAUCCCACACAGGGCGGCACGGUGUGGCAUGUGGUCCUCCCUGCGGAUCUAGUCCUAGAGAAUUACCAAAGCGCUUCACUAGGAGCCAGCAGUCUCCCAUUCCCAAGAGGGGAUCCUAGGAAGAAACUUUAUAGGGAGUAUAAAGAGUUUACAGGAGGGAGAUUAUAUGAAAUAGUCUCGGCUGGGCAGGGCUAAGCCGCAAAAUGUGUGUGGGGGGGUCACAUUAGACACCGCGUCUCCCUGUAUUCGUCCAUUCUGCAUCUGCACCUGUGUGAACACUAGCCAGAUCAAGAAAUAGACGAUUAUGUCAUGUCCUUUCUGGUCACUGCUAUGGCUAAUAAUGCUGCAGAUGACUUUUGACUGAUUUUUAUAUGCUCAUUUGUAGUUGGCUUCUUUCAUGGAACAUUAUGCUGUACGAGUCAUCCACAUCGUUGUGCAUGGCAAUAGGUGCAUUCGCUGUCAGUAUCGUAUGAAUACACUGCAAUUUACCUUUCCUGAUGUUGAUGGUCAUUUGGUUGUUGACAGUUUGGGGGUAUUAUGAAUAGUGUUGCUCUGAGCAUUCCUAUUCAUAUUUAGUGAACAUAGAUGUGCAUUUGUGUUGAGCAUAUAGCCAGGAGUGCAUUUACUAAGCCAUAUGGUAUGUAUAUGUUCAGUUUUACUACCUUAUGCCGAAGGAUUUUCCAAAAUGGAUCAUGAGAAUUGCAGUUGCUCUUCAUCCUCAGCAAAAUUUAGUAUUUUUAGUCUUAUUCUGGUUGGUAGUUUUGGUGUAUAUUCCUCUGAAAACUUAUGAGGCUGAACACUUUGUUAUAUGUGUAUAUGUUAGUUGUGUAUUUGAAUAUCAUCUUCUGGGAAGUUCAAGACUUUGUCUAUUUUCCUACUGGGCUGUCUGGUUUUUAAAAAAUUGAUUUUAAGGGGUUGUUUAUAUAUUCUGGAUAUAAGUUCUUUGCUAGAUUUCACAUAUUCAACUAUCUUCUAUUCUGGUUAAUUUUUCCAACUCUUUUAGUGGUGUCCUUUGAUGAACAGAACUUCUUUUUUUUGUUUUUUGGGGUUUUUUUUUUUAGGAAAAAGAUCUUUCCCUAAAACAGUCUUUUUUUUUUUUUUAAAGAUUUUAUUUAUUUUUAUUUGAGAGAGAGAGAAUGAGAGAGAGGGAGUACAUGAGAGGAGGGAGGGUCAGAGGGAGAAGCAGACUCCCCACUGAGCAGGGAGCCCGAUGCGGGACUCGAUCCAGCGACUCCAGGAUCAUGACCUGAGCCGAAGGCAGUCGCUUAACCGACUGAGUCACCCAGGCGCCCCUCCCUAAAACAGUCUUAUUUCUCGAAUCCAGACUUCUUUUAAUGAUGUGAAAUUUAUCUCAAAUCGCAAUAAAACUUGUAACUAGAGAUUGGAUUUUUGUUUUCCUCUUUUUCUCUCAUCUUCAUUCUGCUUUUUUAAAAUUAUUUUUAUUUAUUUAAAUAAAUAAAUGAACAGAACUUCUUAAUUUUAAAUUUGUCCAAUUUGUCAAUUGGUCUUGAUAUUAGUGCUUUUUUAUGUCUUGUUUUAGGUCCAACAAAUAGUAUCCUAAAUGUUCAUCUAGCUUAAUCAUCAUCAAGCUUAAUAGUUUUACCUUUGACAUUUAGGUCUAUGAUGCAUCUUGAAAUAAUAUUUCUAUAUGGUGUGAUGUUAAUUUGAUUAUGCAUUUUAUGUAUAUUUUACAUACAUACAAUGUAAAUAUAUAUAUUUUUUCAUAAAUGUGCCCUUAACAUUCAUAGGUCCCAGGCCAAGUGUAUAAUGGAGAUAUACAUAGUGUAUGUCUAAAUACUUACAAGUUAUAAGUCAAGCUGACAAACUGUUAAAUGAAAUACAAUUCUUCUACUUUGACAGAUCUACCUUUAUAGUGUCAAAAUUGAAAAAUAUGUUCAUAGUCAUGUUUUUAUGUGAUUGACGUUUGAUAAAAUAUCCAAGAUGACUAAAUUUAAUUAUUAUUGGGCAUGUCUGGUGUUCUGUUGAUGGAAUGGUGAUGUUUGUA